AAGAAUCUCUCACACGGUAAAGUACAAACCGACGACGGCGACUUUCCCUAUGAUCUGAGUUUCUGAACCAAUGGUCUUCCCUCAAUUUCACGGGAAUCUCUGAUUGUUUUCCGGGAAAAUUAAAUUAUAUCUUCUCUCUCCCCUACAUUGUUUACCGGAGACAGAGCUACGUGGCACCUCGCCGGAAUCUCAAACUUCCAUUGUCGGAGAAGAAGAAGAAGAAGCAAGUUUGGAGAUUGAUCCUUCGUUUUGCAAAACAGAUCGAAACUCUUAACGUUUCUACUGUUACUCGUUCUUCAACUGGACUCUGUUUCGGGCGUAAUGGAUCCGACUUCUCGACCCGCUGUUGUCAUCGACAAUGGAACCGGGUAUACAAAGAUGGGCUUUGCGGGUAACGUAGAACCAUGUUUCAUUCUCCCGACAGUAGUUGCAUCUAACGAGUCUUUCUUAAGCCAGCCCAAGAGUUCUUUAAAGGGCUCUUGGGCAGCUCAGCACAAUGCUGGAGUCGCGGCGGAUAUGGACUUCUUUAUAGGAGACGAGGCUCUCACGAAGUCACGGUCUAGUAGUACUUACAAUCUUCGUUAUCCGAUCGAGCAUGGUCAAGUUGAGGAUUGGGAUGCUAUGGAAAGGUAUUGGCAGCAGUGUGUGUUUAACUAUCUGAGGUGUGAUCCAGAGGAUCAUUACUUUCUUCUCACCGAGAGCCCUCUCACUCCUCCUGAGAGCCGAGAGUACACUGGGGAGAUUCUGUUCGAGACUUUUAAUGUUCCUGGGCUUUACAUUGCUGUUAACUCGGUGCUUGCACUUGCAGCUGGGUACACUACAUCAAAGUGUGAGAUGACAGGGGUUGUAGUUGAUGUUGGAGAUGGGGCGACUCGUGUUGUGCCUGUUGCGGAAGGUUAUGUUAUUGGGAGCUGUAUCAAAACAAUUCCGAUUGCUGGCAAAGAUGUCUCCCUCUUUAUCCAGCAACUCAUGCGUGAAAGAGGUGAGAAUAUACCACCGGAAGAUUCAUUCGAUGUUGCACGUAAAGUGAAGGAAAUGUACUGCUACACUUGUUCAGACAUUGUUAAGGAGUUUAACAAACACGACAAAGAACCAGGAAAGUAUAUUAAACAAUGGAAAGGUGUUAAGCCAAAGACUGGUGCACCAUACACUUGUGACGUUGGAUACGAACGAUUCCUUGGACCUGAGGUCUUCUUUAAUCCAGAGAUAUACAGCAAUGACUUUACAACUUCUUUACCGACUGUUAUAGACAAAUGUAUCCAGUCUGCACCAAUUGACACACGGAGAGCUUUAUAUAAGGUGAAAGGCGAGAAUCGAACUCACGUCUCCACGGCCUCAACGUGGGAACAUAGUAUUGUCCGGAGGCUCAACUAUGUUCAAAGAUUUCGGAAGAAGGUUACAAAGGGAUCUCAAAAAGAUUGUUGAUGCUCGUGUUCUUGCUAACAACGCACGUACCGGUGGUGAAAUCACGUCUCAACCAGUGGAGGUUAAUGUGGUGAGCCACCCUGUCCAAAAGUUUGCUGUUUGGUUUGGAGGCUCUGUGCUUUCAUCAACUCCUGAGUUUUUUGCGAGUUGCAGAACGAAAGAGGAGUAUGAGGAAUGUGGAGCAAGCAUAUGUCGUACUAAUCCGGUGUUCAAAGGGAUGUAUUAAAAGUUUAAAACAAAUAGAAGCUGGUUCUUUAAAUAAUUCACCAGCAUAUGUGAAUGUUUGUCUGAAUGAAACACUCCAUUUUAGAUACUUGUAACUAAGCUAUUUGGCUCUUUAGGUUUCAUUGAGUUUCUCAAUCAGUGUAAGCUAGGCUUUAUGUAGUAGAAGAAUUCAUAUUGUUCUCAGACAAAGCAAAAAAAAAAAACAAAACAAAAAUUGUCUGUAGAAAAGAAACAAAAAAGGCAACAACUUGAUAAGCUUCAUGGGACUUGGUGACAGAAACGAUAAUUGUUUCCUACAAACCAGACUUGGCUAAAUAAGAGUACUAAAUGGGCUUAAAACACAACGCAAUACAGCCCAUUAACUAAUGAUUCGAAGCCCGGGCCCAAUAGCUUAUCACUAACACGGAGGAGAAAUCUAUUAUCGCAUCGGAUAAGAAAGAAGAACAUCACGUGUUCUCUCUCAACGAAGACGACUCUCUCCCUCCGAUCUCAAAACCAAUACUUUCAUUGAAUUUCCCCGGAGAAGCUCAGAUCCUCGCCGGCGAAACAACCCUCAGAUCCUUAUCGAAAUCUCAACCUCCGUAGACGGAAGAGACCCAGCUGCAAAGAGUCAAAGUAAGCAAGCUUAGGUUGUUGUUGUUUUUUUUUUCUUCGAUCCUCGAAUCUCGAGGCUUUCUAGGGUUUCAUCAAUGUUAAAAAUUGUAACUUUCAUCCCAGAUCUGUUGAUUUCUUCUUCGAUUUUGUAAGAACGGUAUGUGUAGUAGGCAGGCUCCUUUCCCUUGUAAAUCAAACCAUGUGUGUAAUUUGAUCUAUAAUUGUAUAUACUAAUCUUGUAAGAUCUAAUCUUUUAAUGAAAGAGAAGAUAUUUUGAUGAGCUU